rnacentral:rRNA from 1 species
AUUGAACGCUGGCGGCAGGCUUAACACAUGCAAGUCGAGCGGAGUGAUGGUGCUUGCACUAUCACUUAGCGGCGGACGGGUGAGUAAUGCUUAGGAAUCUGCCUAUUAGUGGGGGACAACAUCUCGAAAGGGAUGCUAAUACCGCAUACGUCCUACGGGAGAAAGCAGGGGAUCACUUGUGACCUUGCGCUAAUAGAUGAGCCUAAGUCGGAUUAGCCAGUUGGUGGGGUAAAGGCCUACCAAGGCGACGAUCUGUAGCGGGUCUGAGAGGAUGAUCCGCCACACUGGGACUGAGACACGGCCCAGAAUCCUACGGGAGGCAGCAGUGGGGAAUAUUGGACAAUGGGGGGAACCCUGAUCCAGCCAUGCCGCGUGUGUGAAGAAGGCCUUAUGGUUGUAAAGCACUUUAAGCGAGGAGGAGGCUCUUUUGGUUAAUACCCAAGAUGAGUGGACGUUACUCGCAGAAUAAGCACCGGCUAACUCUGUGCCAGCCGCCGCAGUAA